UCCCAGCUACUCAGGAGGCUGAGGCAGGAGAAUUGCCUGAACCCAGGAGGCGGAGGUUGCGGUGAGCCUAGAUCGUGCCAUUGCACUCCAGCCUGGGUAACAAGAGCGAAACUCCGUCUCGAUUAAAAAAAAAAAAAAAAAAAAAAAAGAAGAGAAUGAGCAUCAAAGGACAGAAGUCAAAAAGGCUAUCCUAGCAAUACCACCAGCAGCGCCAGCAACAAGCAGUGGAAGCAGCACCCUCGGGGAGACAAGCAAGAGGACCCCUGAUUUGGAAACACCAGGUUUUACUUGGCUUUGGGGGGUGAAAUGGCCUCUUCAGAUGCCUGGCAGCCUUCAGGGCUGAAGAAGAGGAGUCGGAGCCAUGGUAGAAGCAGGGAUAGAAAGUGCAGUCGUAGUCAAGACCGGGUCAGCAUAGACGGAGAAACAGUCAGAGUCAAAGUCGAGACCGGCAGCAUCGUCACCGUAGCCAUAGCUGGGAUAGUGGACAUAGUGAGUCACGAAGUCGCGACCAUCGUCGUGAGGAUUGUCUGCGCUACAGGAUUCCUCCACUUGCCACUGGCCAUAGGUAUGGACACAGUAAGAGUCCUCACUUCAGAGAGAAGAGCCCAGUCAGGGAGCCAAUUGAUAAUCUGAGUCCUGAGGAGCGUGAUGCCCGCACAGUUUUCUGUACGCAGUUAGCUGCCCGCAUUAGGCCUUGAGACCUGGAGGACUUUUGCUCUGCUGUAGGCAAGGUUCGUCAUGUACGUGUCAUCUCAGAUCGGAACUGAUGCCAUUCUAAGGGCAUUGCCUCUGUGGAAUUCUGUGAAAUCCAAUCUGUGCCACUGGCCAUUGGGCUAACUGGGCAAUGGUUGCUGGGAGGGCCUGUCAUUGUACAGGCUUCACAGGCAGAGAAAAACCGACUGGCAGCCAUGGCCAACAACCUGCAAAAGGGCACUGGUGGACCAAUGCGCCUCUAUGUGGGUUCCCUGCACUUCAGUAUCACUGAAGUCAUGCUCUGAGGCAUCUUUGAGCCCUUUGGUAAAAUCGAUAAUGUUGUCCUGAUGAAGGACUCAGAUUCAGGCCGCUCUAAAGGUUAGGGUUUCAUCAUGUUCUCUGAGUCUGAGUGUGCCCAGCGGGCCCUGGAACAGUUGAAUGGCUUUGAGCUUGCUGGUCCACCUAUGAGGGUUGGCCACGUGACUGAGCCACUGGAUCAUGGCACACACAUCACUUUCCCUGAUGCGGACCAGGAGCUGGAUCUGGGAUCAGCAGGUGGACGUUUGCAGCUUAUGGCCAAACUGGCAGAAGGCUCUGGAAUCCAACUGCCAACUACCACCGCUGCUGCUGCUGCCUUGCAACUGAAUGGAGCAGUUCCCCUGGGUGCGCUGAACCCAGCAGCUCUGACUGCUCUGAGUCCAGCCCUGAACCUUACCUCCCAGUGCUUCCAGCUCUCCAGUCUCUUUACCCCCCAGACCAUGUGCCUCUGGGUCCUGCUACUCCACAUCUGCUCUUCCACGGUCCCAUCUCUCCGUUUCGUGGACCAAGCCAUCCUGAGGGCAUGGACAUUGUUUCUGAGGGAAUUGGGGCCACACUUAAGACACCAAGAAAAGCUCCUGCUCACGGCCCCACUGGAAAUGGACUCUGCUGAGCAAAGCGCCCAGUCGAAGAAAGCGGAAUCUACACCUGCAUUGAGUACCUGUUUCUCCACGUGUAUUCUCUGAGAUGACCUUCUUGCCCUUUCCUACAUCUUAAUGAUCCCUCAAUUCCUCCCCCAUUGGGAAGGCCAUAGGGCAUUAACUGAAGGCACUGACCUCUCUCCUUUUCCGGUACCUUUAUCCUUCAUUCUGUCAAGGAAAACCCCUUAGGACCUCUGACUCAAGAGGACUGAGUUUGUGGGGUGAGCCUUGAAGGUGCUCUCUUUCUGCUGCUAGGGCGCUAGAAGGUAGCAUGGAUUCGUGCAUUGAGAAGCCAACCUCAGACCUCAGCUGGAUGCAGCUUGAGGCCAGACCUACUGUAGACUCAGCAUCUUGCUAGGAGGCAUGGGAGUGAUCUAUCCUGCCAGGCAUUUAGGGGCUUUCAAGAAUUUAGUGAGAGGUGGAGUGUACCUUUCCAGUGUCUUCCAUCUUCCUUUGAAUACUUGUCCUUCCUCCCAGGUCCUCCCUUUGGCCCAGGGUGGCAGGAUGGAGGGAAGCUGCUGCUCUCUACUGCUUCCCGUGUGCCUCUACUGUGGCCUCAACCCUGGCAGUUAAAAUGCUCCCAUUUCCUACCUGGGCAUGUGUGAGCCCUUCUCACUGGAUUUUAUCCCCUUGUGUCUGUGUACAUAAAUGUGUGUGUGCGUGUGUGUGUGUAUAAACACACACACAGCCUCCUUGUGGCGGCUGUUGCCUAUUUGUGUGUGGUCUCUGUUGUGUGUCUGUCUGAAAACUUAUGAGCCCAAACCAUGAUGUUUCUAGGGUUAUAAAAGAUUAGUAACAACAACCACCAACAAAACUACCCAACCCCCUCUCUGUCUUUCUUCCAAAUUGUGACAGGUACGUUAUUACUUUAGUUGCUUUUCUUUAGUUGGUUUCAUGUAUACCUUUAAUUUCUUAUGUAAUAUUUUUAGAAAACAUCCCCCGCUACGCACCAUGCGUGACAAGACCGUACCCCUUACCCCUUCCUCGUCUCUUCUUUGCUACCUCUCAGCUGCUGUCAGUUAUAGGUUGAUGUUGCCAGAUCCAUAAUGAUUAUAUUAUAAUCAUAAGUAUAAAGAGAAUUUCCUGUGCUUUGCCUAUAGUUGGUUCUAAAAUUUGAGAAGUGAAAAAUAAUGUUAUAUUUGCGCCACAAUCUUGUUGUUGAGAUGUUUUCCAGAGGCUUUUAUGCGUCCGUGUUGGUCUGUGCUGCCGGCAGGUUGGACCUAACAGAAGCUGUAGUCAGGUCACCAGGUCACUCCUGCCUAAGCUUCAUUUCUGCCACCGUCACCACUUCAUUCGUAAACCCACUGCGUGAUGAGACAGGUGGCGGAGGAAAGAGGCCAACUGGCCUUCACGGAAUGGGUUAUUCUACCCUCUCAAAUGUUAAAAUCCUCCUCUGCUGAGGUCAUCAUUUAGUGGACAAUCACACAGGACACAAGUAGCUUCAUGAUUUUUGUCCAUUCAGAGAAGCCUCUUGUGAAUUUUCCAGUCCUAUUUCUUGCAAGCCCGUAACCACCCAGCCUAGCCAUUGGUGACAGUCUAUGAAUUAAUACAUGAGCACACACCUGGUCAUUUCUUUUUCCGAGCAAAGUGCACUACAUGAAGUUCUGUCCACCAAGAGGAUUUCCUUCCCCACUUCAGGGAAAGUCCUUCAGGGAUGGCCCAGGAAGGGGCUCAGUGCUAUGGCUGCCUACCCAGCAUGUUGUGUAGAACCAUUGCAAACCAGGUGCAAAUUUUCUCUUCCUCUGUCAUAUUAUUAUAGGGAACUCACCAUGAGGCCGUAGGUACAGGCUUGGAGAGAGAAGGCAGUGCGGCAGAUGUAGGAAGCAUGGGCAUUUGAGCCACUUCUCCAUAGAACCAUAUAACUUACUUGUACCUUCAGGGUCUGCCCAGACCCAGUGAUGCAUUUGCCACAUCCAUUUGACAAUGGAGCAAGGCUGUGCUUGCUCAAUUUUGUGACCUGGCUGGUCGGUAACGCCCAGUUCAUGAUGGGCAGCCCAAGUUUCGUGCUAACUUAGUGGCCUGUGUUCAAGUAUUCACUCUCUAUCAAGGCCCAGUAAUAGGCCAAGAGCUGUAUCUCAAAAGAAUUUGUCUGCAAAUGCUGUUGGGAUAGGAGAGAUUGGAAGAAUCACGUUGUUCAUUCUGGCCAUGAGUUUGCUGUUUCUGGUGACAAUGCUCUCGGUGACUUACCAUCUUCCUUCUGAAUUAGUCGGUAGCUCCGUCAUGUGCCUGGGGGAUCCAUAAAAAUGUGCUUCUGGUCGCUAGGCUGGGGAGGCCAAAUUGCCACAAUCUCGUAGACUGAAGAAUGGGGAGCGAACAUGUGUUUUUUAUUUAGUUAUUUUUCCACCUUAAGAAUUAGGUCUUGAGGUACCCGAUUUCCCAAACCCUGGCUGUACUAAGGCUCAUGGGGAAUUUGCCUUUAAUCAACUUAUUGUCCAGAGAAAUGCUACCUGGAAGGACUCAAAUAUCUUGAGGUGGAAGUAGAUCACAUGCCUGAGAUUUCUUCUCUAGGUAGAAGGGUCCUGGAUUAUUCCUCAGCUGUUCAGAGGAAGGAAGAGGCUAGAUGCACCAUGAGGAAAACCACAAGUUAUGUCUGGGUUACAAGAAUACCUGAGUAGAGGGGAAUGUCCACCCCGUAAGCCAGAAUUUUCCUCUCCUUGCAGAGAGGGGUGUUGUGUCUGAAUCUAUGAUUGGAGGCUGGCGAGAAAAGCUUUACAACAGUGGAAGAGGAAGAUACAGUUGCUGUUGCCAGAUUUGGGAGAUAACAGCACAGUAUACAUCAUCGGGAAUUGUAACAGAUUUAUUGAAGAAAAAAAAAAAAAGGAUGGUAGCCCAUUUUCCUCCACCUACACAGUGUCUGCAGGACUAAUAGUCUGGAAGGAAUGAAAUGCAGAUGUAGCUGGCUCAUACACACACUUGUGUGAAUGAUACGUUACUAGGUUAUGUCAUUGCAGUAGACUCAGGAAUUGUGAUCUGGGAACCCAGACAUGAGCCCUAGAGGGCAAAACUUAAGUGAAAUAUCUUUAUGGUCAUUAUGGAGAUUCUCAAAUGCUAAGGUUAACCAACAUACUGCCCUAAGACCAGAAAGGAGAAAAAAUGGAAGUUCUGGGUUCUGCCAAUGGACUAUUUCAUGGAGCAGACUGCUAAGACCUCUGAAUUAUGUGGACUGUCAGAAUGAGUCACAUGUUGGGGCCGGGUGUGGUGGCCCACACCUAUGAUCCCAACACUUUGGGAGGCGGAGACAGAUGGGUCACCUGAGGUCAGGAGUUCAACACUAGCCUGGCCAACAUGGUGAAACCCUAUCUCUACUAAAAACAAAAAUGAAACCUGAAAAUUAACUGGGUGUGGUGGCAGGUGCCUGUAAUCCCAGCCACUUGGGAGGCUAAGGCAGGAGAAUCGCUUAAACCUGAGAGGUGGAGGUAGUAAUGAGCUGAGAUCGCAUCACUGUACUCCAGUUUGGGUGACAAGAGUGAAACUCAAUCUCAAAAAAAAAAAAAAAAGACUCAGUCACGUGUUGGUUUGGGGAUCAAACAAAGUGGAAGUGACAUCAGUCAAGACUGGGCCGUCACUGCCCUGUUCCAGGCAAGCUUUGUGGUCCGACUGGUCUCGUGUUCCAACCCAUCCACCCUAACCCCCUACUCCUUGACCUCUUCCAAUUGAGACACGAGAUUCAUUCUGGCCAAAAGAGG